CGCGUAGGCGGGAUGGCAAGUCGGUCGUGAAAUCCCUGGGCUCAACUCAGGGGGGUCGGCCGAUACUGCCGUUCUUGAGGGAUGCAGAGGAGACUGGAAUUCCCGGUGUAGCGGUGAAAUGUGUAGAGAUCGGGAGGAACACCGGUGGCGAAGGCGGGUCUCUGGGCAUUCCCUGACGCUGAGGCGCGAAAGCGUGGGGAGCAAACGG
rnacentral:rRNA from 1 species